CUGUUUCAAUUUGUUGAGGACAGAUAAAAUGAAUAUGAGUGUCAAUACCUCCAGCAGUUAAAAUCAUCCCUUCUCCAGCGAUAACUUCUGUGACAGCACCGAUAAUAAUAUCUACUUUGGGCUGAAUAGUAGGAUUUCCAGCUUUGCCAAUUUUGAAAAUUUUACCGUCUUUAAUGCCUACAUCCGCCUUAACAAUACCCCACCAGUCGAGAAUUAAAGCGUUAGUGAUAACUGUAUCUACUGCACCAUCUGCCCUUGAAAUGCCCGAUUGCCCCAUACCAUCCCG
rnacentral:sRNA from 1 species